rnacentral:tRNA from 1 species
AAAAAUUUAGUUAAAAUAUAACAUUAGUUUGUCAAACUAAAAUUAUUAGAUAAAAUAAUUUUUU